rnacentral:tRNA from 2 species
GCGCCCGUAGCUCAGUGGAUAGAGUGUCUGCCUCCGGAGCAGAAAGUCGCAAGUUCGAAUCUUGCCGGGCGCG